UGGGGUGGUUUUGUUUGCUUGUUUUCUUGUUUGCCUUCGUUUUCGUUUUAGGAUUAUGGAGAUAGCGUUUCUGAACUCAGGGAAUGGAGACCAGUCAUCUACAGAAAGUGCACAGACACUCUCUGGCUGCUCCUCUUCUUUCUUUUCUGGGCUGGUUUGCUAAUGCAGAAGAAUACCUACACAUUUUGAAUACUGCAUAAGAGGAAGCCAAACUUUGUGAAUAGGACAGGAUUUUUUACAUGCUGCCUUCUGCCUAGUGCUUUGAUCAGUGGAGGGAAUGCUGAAAAUUAAACCUGUUGAAUGGUGAGAACUUAGGAUUUUUGUUUGUUUUCUCUCAUUGUUUUUAUUGCUCAGUUUCUGUGAAAUAGCUUAUUGCAUAUAUGUAUUGGUUUUCUUUUGUUUGAUCUUAAGAGAUUAAAAAAUUUUUGAUGACACUGAUUUUUUUUCACAUAGCGGAAAAAAAUUGAAACCACAUUAAUAACUCUGUGGAAAUGCAUAUCACUGGCAUGUAUAGACACACCCUGCCAGCAGUCAUACAGCAGUCUAUUACUUAACAAUAGUUAUGGCUUGUAUUCAGCAUUCUGCACUUUAAAAAAAAAAAAGUAAAAAUCACAUGUACACAGUAUUUGCCAUACGCCCAUCUUUGGAAGGAAUGCCAAAAUUUUUCUGAAAGCAUGUUUCAGGUUACAAUGCCAGCUCACUUCUCCUUUUUCUUCUGAGAACAAUUUAAUUAUUAACAAAUACUUGCUAUAUAAAUAAACUGGAUCUGAAAAUACUUUGUAACAAAUAUCACCUCCACAAGUAGUAUGUCAGCUGUAAUUGUGGAGUCUCUACAAAAAUCUCCAGAUUGAGGUGGCAUUAACACAAAGUCAUAACUGAAAAAAAAGAUAUUUAACUAGUUAGUCUGCAGACAUAUAAGCAAAAAUGUGACUACACUGGGGACUAAGGAAGCACAUACUUACACGUUUGUUUAUGAGGCUCAGUUUUUACCCAAGUCCCAUCUUUAGUGACAGGUAUUGAAAGUAGAAUAACAGAGGCUCUAAACCUUAAGAAAGCAAGCAGUUGUGCUGGAUCUGAUAUGUGUAGUCUGUCUCUGGCAUAGCUGAUAUUCAACAAUAUCCAUGCAAAGUACUAGUGGUUAACGUGGGACUGAGAAGUCUUGCUGCUGCCAGCAGUUGGCGCGUAGCCAUGGAACUUAGUGUUAUUGUCCUUGGUGUGUGUGAAAUGCGGUUUACACCCCACAGGACUGAGAAGAUGAUUGUAUCGCUGAGUUCUUCAGUAACUGGAGUACUGUAAAUAAACCUUUGGGUAAAGUAGUGCUUAGGCCUUCACCAGCUUCCCGUAAGAAAGACUACUGCUUCUUAGCACUUGGAAAGGUUCUUUUCAAGGG
rnacentral:lncRNA from 1 species